CAGAUCCUAUGGACCAGCUCAUCAGCUCAUGGAGCAGGAGGGCAAUAGUGGUGCUCUCCUGAAAAUCUGUGAGGCACCACUGUGGAAAAACAUGAGACAGGAGGAAAGUGCAUGUGUCCAUGCUCAGUGCACAAGACCUGACCUGUAUGCCUCCAAGCUGCAAAGGUCUGGAUUGAAGCCGAAUAUAUGACAAAAUCAGGAGUGUUCAACAAUUCAAAUGGAGAAGCCUCCAGGAAGACAUAAGUAAAAUAACGCAAUGACCAGCAAAAGAUAAGGAACAGAGAUGGAGAGUGAUUCCUUUGAUUUCUGAUGCCUGUGUUUAGUUCCUCCAAGCAGAAACCAUGGAAUGUUUUCACUGAGAGAACAUGCAAGACAGGUUUUGGUAGAACAACUGAUCACCAAAAGCACAAGAAAUGGGCAUGGCAGCUUUGCAUGCUACUGCUCUGUAGAAAACUCAAUACUAAAGAAGAAGAAGAAAGAAGGAAGAAGGAAGAAAAGAAGAAGAGGAAGAAGAAGAAGAAAAAGAAGAUUAAAAAACUUGAUCUCUUACAAUGUCUC
rnacentral:lncRNA from 1 species